rnacentral:rRNA from 1 species
AACGAACGCUGGCGGCAGGCUUAACACAUGCAAGUCGAGCGCCCCGCAAGGGGAGCGGCAGACGGGUGAGUAACACGUGGGAACGUACCUUUUGCUACGGAAUAGCUCCGGGAAACUGGAAUUAAUACCGUAUGUGCCCUUUGGGGGAAAGAUUUAUCGGCAAAAGAUCGGCCCGCGUCUGAUUAGCUAGUUGGUGGGGUAAUGGCCUACCAAGGCGACGAUCAGUAGCUGGUCUGGGAGGAUGAUCAGCCACACUGGGACUGAGCCACGGCCCAGACUCCUACGGGAGGCAGCAGUGGGGAAUAUUGGACAAUGGGGGCAACCCUGAUCCAGCCAUGCCGCGUGAGUGAUGAAGGCCUUAGGGUUGUAAAGCUCUUUCGCUAGGGAAGAUAAUGACGGUACCUAGAGAAGAAGCCCCGGCUAACUUCGUGCCAGCAGCCGCAGUAA